UACGAAGGGGGGCUAGCGUUGCUCGGAAUCACUGGGCGUAAAGCGCACGUAGGCGGCUUCUUAAGUCAGGGGUGAAAUCCUGGAGCUCAACUCCAGAACUGCCUUUGAUACUGAGAAGCUUGAGUCCGGGAGAGGUGAGUGGAACUGCGAGUGUAGAGGUGAAAUUCGUAGAUAUUCGCAAGAACACCAGUGGCGAAGGCGGCUCACUGGCCCGGUACUGACGCUGAGGUGCGAAAAGCGUGGGGGAGCAAACAGG
rnacentral:rRNA from 1 species